GAAGUAAACCGGGUGAUCGCUGUUCCGGCUUUUAGUCGGGAGAGAGGAAAGUCCGGGCUCCACAGAGCAGGAUACUCCGUAACGCGGAGUGGGGGUGACCUCAAGGAAAGUGCAACAGAAAGGACACAGCCUACCCGUUAGAAGUGCAAACUUUUAGCGGCGGCAAUGGUGAAACGGUGAGGUAAGAGCUCACCAGUACCGCCGGUGACGGUGGUAGCUUGGCAAACCCUAUCCGGAGCAAGAUCAAAUAGGAAAGUGCUUGAGGGCGGCUCGCCCGAUACUUUCGGGUUGAUUGCUCGAGCCUGUCGGCAACGGCAGGCCUAGAUUGAUGAUCACCUCUCCUUUCGGGGAGAACAAAACCCGGCUUAUGGUUUGCUUCGACC
rnacentral:RNase_P_RNA from 1 species